CUUCCCUGCCUGCUGCAGCUUAUGUGCUGUGUCUGCACUCCAGAUUCACUGCCUCCUCUGAGUUCUGCCCAGGAAACUUCACCUUGGUUCGAUAUUGUUACAAAGUUCAAGUGGAAGUUUCCUUCCCCCUGUGGUCUCUUCCCGGUUCCUUUGGCAGCCCUCCCCAAGGAUCUAUGCAAGACAACGUCAGAAAUUGCUUCCCUGGGGACUGGGAGAGCUUACCGUGCUCUUCCACUGCUUCUUUACACCUGCAUUUUGCUCAGCUCUCUAAAUGGUCUCAGCUCCAGAUACAGGAUAUUUUGUUGAAUAUUCCUUGUCCACGUUCCAUGAAGACAGCCAGCGACAAAGGGCAUAGAUGAGACUACAAUCUCCAGCCCAGGAAACUCUGCCUCAUGACUCAACAAAAGAAGACACUUGAUCAAAGUGGUCACUUAACAGCAGAAGGCUGUAGGAG
rnacentral:lncRNA from 10 species